rnacentral:rRNA from 1 species
GACGAACGCUGGCGGCGUGCCUAAUACAUGCAAGUAGAACGCUGAAGAGAGGAGCUUACUCUUCUUGGAUGAGUUGCGAACGGGUGAGUAACGCGUAGGUAACCUGCCUUGUAGCGGGGGAUAACUAUUGGAAACGAUAGCUAAUACCGCAUAACAAUGGAUGACACAUGUCAUUUAUUUGAAAGGGGCAAUUGCUCCACUACAAGAUGGACCUGCGUUGUAUUAGCUAGUAGGUGAGGUAAUGGCUCACCUAGGCGACGAUACAUAGCCGACCUGAGAGGGUGAUCGGCCACACUGGGACUGAGACACGGCCCAGACUCCUACGGGAGGCAGCAGUAGGGAAUCUUCGGCAAUGGGGGCAACCCUGACCGAGCAACGCCGCGUGAGUGAAGAAGGUUUUCGGAUCGUAAAGCUUUGUUGUGAGUCAAGAACGGGUGUGAGAGUGGAAAGUUCACACUGUGACGGUAGCUUACCAGAAAGGGACGGCUAACUACGUG